GAUGCAGCAGUCAGGAAUAUUGCGCAAUGGAGGAAACUCUGACGCAGCGACGCCGCGUGGGUGAUGAAGGCCUUCGGGUCGUAAAGCCCUGUCGGAGGGGAAGAAAAGUCUGUUGGCUAAUAUCCAGCGGACCUUUGACGGUACCCUCAAAGGAAGCACCGGCUAACUCCGUGCCAGCAGCCGCGGUAAGACGGAGGGUGCAAGCGUUGUUCGGAUUGACUGGGCGUAAAGGGCGUGUAGGCGGUUGGUUAAGUCGGGUGUGAAAGCCUGGGGCUCAGCCCCAGAAGUGCAUCCGAAACUAGCCAGCUAGAGCGCGAUAGAGGAGGGUGGAAUUCCUGGUGUAGCGGUGAAAUGCGUAGAUAUCAGGAGGAACACCGGCGGCGAAGGCGGCCCUCUGGAUCGUUGCUGACGCUGAGACGCGAAAGCGUGGGGAGCAAACAGGAUUAGAUACCCCGGUAGUCCUAGCCCUAAACGAUGGGUACUAGAUUGUGGGCUGAACAUGGGCUCACAGUCGAAGCAAAAGUGUUAAGUACCCCGCCUGGGGAGUAUGGUCGCAAGGCUGAAACUCAAAGGAAUGA
rnacentral:rRNA from 1 species